rnacentral:rRNA from 1 species
GACGAACGCUGGCGGCGUGCUUAACACAUGCAAGUCGAACGGAAAGGCCCUGCUUUUGUGGGGUGCUCGAGUGGCGAACGGGUGAGUAACACGUGAGUAACCUGCCCUUGACUUUGGGAUAACUUCAGGAAACUGGGGCUAAUACCGGAUAGGAGCUCCUGCUGCAUGGUGGGGGUUGGAAAGUUUCGGCGGUUGGGGAUGGACUCGCGGCUUAUCAGCUAGUUGGUGGGGUAGUGGCUUACCAAGGCUUUGACGGGUAGCCGGCCUGAGAGGGUGACCGGCCACAUUGGGACUGCGAUACGGCCCAGACUCCUACGGGAGGCAGCAGUGGGGAAUAUUGCACAAUGGGCGGGAGCCUGAUGCAGCAACGCCGCGUGCGGGAUGACGGCCUUCGGGUUGUAAACCGCUUUCGCCUGUGACGAAGCGUGAGUGACGGUAAUGGGUAAAGAGGCACCGGCUAACUACGUG